GGCUAUAGCUCAGGGGGUCGAGUGCCUGCCUCACAUGCACAAAGCUCUGGGUUCAAUCCCCAGCACCG
rnacentral:tRNA from 1 species